UACGGAGGGUGCAAGCGUUAUCCGGAUUCACUGGGUUUAAAGGGUGCGUAGGCGGACAGGUAAGUCAGUGGUGAAAUCUCCGAGCUUAACUCGGAAACUGCCUUUGAUACUCUCUGUCUUGAAUAUGGUGGAGGUAAGCUGAAUAUGUCAUGUAGCGGUGAAAUGCUUAGAGAUGACAUAGAACACCUAUUGCGAAGGCAGCUUACUACGCCUAUAUUGACGCUGAGGCACGAAAGCGUGGGGAUCAAACAGG
rnacentral:rRNA from 1 species